rnacentral:rRNA from 1 species
GUGCUAAGGUAGCAAAAUAAUUUGUUUUUUGAUUGGAAACUGGAAUGAAAGAUUAAACAAAAAAUUAUUUUUUAUAAAAAUUUUUUAAAAUUUUUAUUUUGUGUUAAAAUACAUAAAUGAAUAAGAGGGACGAUAAGACCCUAAAAGCUUUAUUAUGGUAUAUUUUUUAUUAUUUUAAAUUAUAAAAUUAAAAAUAAUUUAACUGGGGUAGUUGUUUUUUUAACAAAUAUUUUUUGUAACAUUUUGUAAUAAAGGGCCUUUAUAUUAGGAUAAUUGGUUGAAGUUACUUUAGGGAUAACAGCGUAAUAAUAAUGGAAAGAUCUUAUUUAUAUUAUUGUUUUCGACCUCGAUGUUGAAUUAAAUUUCUUUAUAAAGCAGAAAUUAUUUUUGAAAGUUUGUUCAACUUUUAAAAAUUUACAUGAUC